GCAAGUACUGGAAUCUGGUCAAAUCUCAACUUGCAGAUGACAAUAUAAAGUGUGUCUGGAAUCUAUUCCUUCUGGUGGAUUCGUAGUCUUGCUGACUUCAGGAGUGAAGCCGCAUACCCUCGCAGUGAGUGUCACAGCUCUUAAAGGUGGCGUGUCCAGAGUUAUUUGUUCCUCCCAGUGGGUUCAUGGUCUCACUGACUUCAGGAGUGAAGCCGCACACCCUCACAGUGAGUGUUACAGCUCUUAAAGGUAGUGCGUCUGGAGUUGUUUGUUCCUCCCAGUGGGUUCAUGGUCUCACUGACUUCAGGAAUGAAGCUGCAGACCCUCGCGCUGAGUGUUACAGCUCAUAAAGGUAGCACAAACCCAAAGAGUGAGCAGCAGCAAGAUUUAUUGUGAAGAACAAAAGAAUAAAGCUUCCACAGCAUGGAAAGGGACCUGAGCGAGUUGUCACUGUUGCCUGGGGUGGUCAGCUUUUAUUCCCUUAUUUGGCCCCACCCACGUCCUGCUGAUUGGUCCAUUUUACAGAGUGCUGAUUGGUCCAUUUUACAAAGUGCUGAUUGGUCCAUUUUACAGACUGCUGAUUGGUACAUUUACAAUCCUUUAGCUAGACAGAGAGC
rnacentral:lncRNA from 10 species